rnacentral:rRNA from 1 species
UAAUACGGAGGGUGCAAGCGUUAUCCGGAUUCAUUGGGUUUAAAGGGUGCGUAGGCGGAAUAGUAAGUCAGAGGUGAAAUCCUGCAGCUCAACUGCAGAACUGCCAUUGAAACUGCUGUUCUUGAGUAUAUUUGAAGUGGGCGGAAUGUGUCAUGUAGCGGUGAAAUGCAUAGAUAUGACACAGAACACCGAUUGCGUAGGCAGCUCACUAAACUAUUACUGACGCUCAGGCACGAAAGCGUGGGUAGCGAACAGGAUUAGAUACCCUGGUAGUCCACGCCGUAAACGAUGAUUACUCGAUGCUGGCGAUAUACUGUCAGUGUCCAAGCGAAAGUGUUAAGUAAUCCACCUGGGGAGUACGAUCGCAAGAUUG